ensembl:lncRNA
ACUGUUUUUUGGGAGCUGGUCUGGCCAGGCAGAUUUGACUGGAGCCAGAGUGUAGAUACAAGGCUGAGCUCAGAUAAACAGCUUCUUGUUUGAGCUGCCGCUGCACUGAGCUGCUCUGUGCUGAGCUGAGCAGGCUGAUAAGAAAGGCAGUGGCGGCGUCGGGGCCGUGGCAGCCAAGAGAAUGGACCAGGGCCUGGGGAAGUAGACACUCUGACUGCACCCUGCCCUCCCCUGACCGCUUCUCCUCCCAGCCCUAAUCUCUCUUCUUUUCUUCUCUCCCUCGCUCUUUUCACAGCAAAGGGCAGAGCUGCCUAAUUGCCUGGUGAGAGUGAAAUGUAUCAGUGGACCGCAUCAGCAUGGGGAGCAGGAGAAGAGAUGCAGACACGGCCGGCGGGUCAGACCCAGGAAGAGACGUGACCUCGAUGACUAUCCAUAUUUAAAGCCCUAGAUACCUCCUACUAUCACAAUUGAUCAUCAUGCCUGCAGAGAGCUGCUGAUACGCCAAACAUGCCAGAAGAUUGGCAAUCAAUAACACAGCAAGAACGCUUUAGCUCAGCACUGGACUAAACCCACAUCUGCUUCCAAUAUCCCUGUCU